rnacentral:rRNA from 1 species
UACGUAGGUGGCGAGCGUUGUCCGGAUUUACUGGGCGUAAAGAGCGCGCAGGCGGUCGUACAAGUCGCGUGUGAAAGCCCCUGGCUCAACUGGGGAGGGUCACGCGAUACUGUUCGACUCGAAGGCAGGAGAGGGAAGUGGAAUUCCCGGUGUAGUGGUGAAAUGCGUAGAUAUCGGGAGGAACACCAGUGGCGAAGGCGCUCUACUGGGCCACAACUGACGCUGAGGGACGAAAGCUAGGGGAGCGAAAGGG